AGAGUUUAUGUGGGGGAAGUGUGGGGGUCGACGCAGGGAACGACCAGGAAGGGAAAAACCCUUCUUCUUGCCCUAGCUCCUCAAACCACAAGCAAUUGAAUAAGUUUCUGGCCCUAAUUCGAAUGCAUGUCAGCGAAUUCUCAACUAUCUAAGAGUUCCCUACAUAGGGAAUCAUGUCAAAAUGGUUGAGAGCAUGGAAGGCUAACGGGCUAAGAAGACUCAAGUAAAACAAACGCAAAUACGGACGCACAAGGUAAAUCUAUUGCUUGACGCGGCGCACCCGGACCGAGCACACACGACGUUGACCUUAAUACGCUUCCGGUUCAAGUUGUUUCUUUUGAAUGGGUCAAAACGUCCUUUUGUGUAGUAAAUGUUAAACUAGUUAUUAGGAUGAUGGUAGUAGUUUGAGGUUAGA